AUUGAACGCUGGCGGCAGGCCUAACACAUGCAAGUCGAACGGGUGGCGGACGGGUGAGUAAUGUCUGGGAAACUGCCUGAUGGAGGGGUAUAACUACUGGAAACGGUAGCUACUACCGCCUACCAUCCGAUUUGCCCAGAUGGGAUUAGCUAGUAGGUGGGGUAAUGGCUCACCUAGGCGACGCUCCCUAGCUGGUCUGAGAGGAUGACCAGCCACACUGGAACUGAGACACGGUCCAGACUCCUACGGGAGGCAGCAGUGGGGAAUAUUGCACAAUGGGCGCAAGCCUGAUGCAGCCAUGCCGCGUGUGUGAAGAAGGCCUUCGGGUUGUAAAGCACUUUCAGCGAGGAGGCGUUACUCACAGAAGAAGCACCGGCUAACUCCGUGCCAGCAGCCGCGGUAAUUC
rnacentral:rRNA from 1 species